AUAUAUAUAUAUAUAUAUAUAUAUAUAAUAUUUUAAUUAUAUGUAGGCUGAGUGAGUAAACUGAGGUUAGUUAAAAUUGGGCCAAUAUUACUGGCCCAUAAAAAGAAACCUAAUAGGUAAAUAAAAGGGCAAAAUUUUACUAAAUUUACACACACACACUCUCUCUCUCUCUCUCUUUCUUUCAUAGAGCUCUAAAAAUUCCUUAUCUCUUUCUCUCUCUCUCUCUCUUUCUCUGUCUCUCACCCCAAGUGGCUAAGCCUGAAGGGAACCAACUCACCAAGUAGCAGCAUGCGUCUGCCGUUGCCUACCUUACCAUUAGUUGUGCGCUUGAAAAAAUAUGCAAAAUAUUUUUAAGGUGAAAAUGAUUGGUUAUACAAAAUUUUGAUUUUAGUUAUAUAUGAUUUGAUAAUUUAAUCCAAUAUUUGCCUAUAUAAUUUAUUUAUUUUUUGACCGCAUAUAUGAAAAGGAAUAAUAUGGAGAUUGAAGGCAGAAGAGAAGACAUGCGAAGCUAAAAAGAUUAGAUAUUCGACUCAUAAAUUAUUUUUCUUCAUAUUAUAAUACUGUAUUUUAUAUAAUUAUUUUGUAUUUUAAACUAUUAGAUAUGUUUUUGUAUCAAAUUAUAAAUAAUGUUCUAUACAAAUUAAACUAUUGAUCGUACAAUAUUGAGAAUUUCAAGUGGCUCGUUUAGGGCUCGAGCUUGCUUGACUUGAAAUUAGGCUCGCUCGAGCUCAGCUCGAAUUAAUUUCAAGCCGAACUUGAGCCUAAAUUUAGGCUCAAAACUAAUUUCAUGCCGAAUUUGAGCUGUGAUAAGCUCGCUCGAGCUUGGCUCGUUUCCAUCCCUAGCCACAACUAGCUGUCCCCGCCCCGACGUGCUCUCCCUCUCCGUCAUCCUCAAAUUCUGCAGCAACCUUGCUGUCAUAGCCGUUCGCGGCCAUGUGCUCCGCCGCAGCCUGGCCUUUGCGAUCUAUGCCAUAUUAAAGCUAACGUCGAUGAAGCUGUAGGCGAGGUAAGAGAGCAGAUAUCGGCGUCGAUGUGAGGGCGGCGAAGGAGGAGGAGAAGGGAGAGGAAAUAAGAAGAGAAAGAAAGAAAGAAGCAAUAAAGAGGAGGAAGACGGAACGAGAGAGAAAAAACGAGACAGAGCAAGAAGAAAAAAUCGAAUGAGAAAGAAAAAAAAAGGGACAAAAAGGAAUAAGAGUAUUCUGAUUAGUUUACUAAAAAUUCGGACAGAAUAUUCAAAAUAAGAUCUGCAAAAUCUAGAUUGUAUCAAAUAUAAUGGUUCAAAUUUUAUAUUGAUUAAUCAUAUUGUUCAGUAUAUGUGAAAUAUCGAUGAUGUGUGUGUUUGUGUGUCUCGAUGAUAUGUGUGUUGUCUAUUUUCUAAUUUUAUCGGAUUGAAAAUUAUUUAUUGAAAAAUUGUAAUGUGUAAGAUAAUUACUGAUCUAUUAGUGGCAAUAAUUGUAUUUGUAACUUACUAUAUAUAGUUUGAAGGUGAAAUUAAUAAAAAAUUAAUUAUAAAAAUUUAAUUGAAUUAACAAAUUAAAUUUAGCUAAUUAAUAGUGGCAAUGGAAUUAGUUU
rnacentral:lncRNA from 1 species